rnacentral:rRNA from 1 species
GACGAACGCUGGCGGCGUGCUUAACACAUGCAAGUCGAACGGAAAGGCCCUGCUUUUGUUGGGUGCUCGAGUGGCGAACGGGUGAGUAACACGUGUGUAACCUGCCCUUGACUUUGGGAUAACUUCAGGAAACUGGGGCUAAUACCGGAUAGGAGCUCCUGCUGCGUGUUGGGGGUUGGAAAGUCUCGGCGGUUGGGGAUGGACUCGCGGCUUAUCAGCUUGUUGGUGGGGUAGUGGCUUACCAAGGCUUUGACGGGUAGCCCGCCUGAGAGGGUGACCGGGCACAUUACGACUAAGAUACGGCCCAGAAUCCUACGGGAGGCAAUAGGGGAGAACAUUGCACAAUGGGCGGACGUGAGAUGCAGAAACGUCGGGUGCGGGAUGACGGCCUUUGGGGUUUAAACAGCUUUCGAAUGUGCCGAAGCGUGAGUGACGGUAAUGAGUAAAGAAGCACCGGCUAACUACGUG